UGGUGGUGGAAUAAAGCAGUCGGGCCCCAGCCAAGUCAGCAUGUGCACUGUGCGAAUUGUUUCGGAGAGAGGAUCGCCGUUCGAGAGCACCCCAUAUUCUCUCCUCCGUGUAGGGCGGAGGUCACGGUGGAGGUCACGGAGGUCACGGCGGAGGUCACAGCUACGGCAGAGGUCGCGGCAAGGGCGGCAAGUUCAACAUCGGCUCGCUAUUCUCCAAGAAAGGCCGUCUGUUCAGCGGAAUCAAGCACAAGUUCAGCGGCAUCACGCACAAGUUCAGCGGCCUCAAGCAGAAGCUGGGCGGCCUCGUAGGCGCCGUGAAGGCGCCGCUGGUGCUAAUCAAGGGAAAGCUGCUGCGCAAAGGAGGUCGCCUGCUUACUACCAAGGGACGGUUCCUCACCAGUUUGGCCAACAAGCUGACCAGCAAGUUCAACAAGGGCGGAGGCCACGGCGGGUACAGUGGAGGCCACAGCGGGUACAGUGGAGGCCACAGCGGCGGAUACGGCGGAGCCGGUGGCGGGCACAUCUCCGUCCAGCCUUCGACCACCUACGGGGCGCCCUCUAGGCCCAGCAGCGGGUACGGGGCGCCCUCUAGGCCUAGCAGCGGGUACGGGGCGCCCUCUAAGCCCAGCAACGACUACGGGGCGCCCUCUAGUGGAGGUCACGGCGGCGGAUCCGGACACUCGUCCGGAGGUCACGGCGGCGGAUCCGGACACUCGUCCGGAGGUCACGGCGGCGGGUCCGGACACUCCUCCGGAGGUCACGGCGGCGGGUCCGGACACUCGUCUGGAGGUCACGGCGGCGGGUCCGGACACUCGUCUGGAGGUCACGGCGGCGGGUCGUCCGGUCACGACGGCCGCUCGCUCUCGGGCGGCUCGGUCUCCAGCUACUCGUCGUACGCCUAGGACAGAACAUGGAACAUGAAGUUCACACCUGGCAACACAGCCGGCCUGCCCGUCUGGCAUCACCUGUCUGGAAGCCCUCACCUGGCAUCACUCGUCUGGCAGCUCUCUCAGUGUGCAGCACAGCCGGACGGCAACUCUCUGUCCGGAGAUUUAUCCCGUACGACUCCGUCCGGAGACUCCUUCCGUGCACCUCACUGGAGACGCAGCCCGGACAACUCUCUAUGUCCGGAGCUCGCUGUCCGGAGGACACUGUCCGGAGCUCUCUUUCUGGACAGUCUGUCUGAAGAGUCUGUCUGUGGGACAGUCUGCCGCAUGUGGCAGAUCGUGGCAGAGCAGCCACAGAGCCGUGCUGUUUUCGACCUCACCAUGCCUCUCGGGCCCCACCCGCCUACACACACAUCAAAUGCAGCGCCGGCGACAAACCGUCUUCCACCAUCACUUAUAUGUAGAAAUGCCUGUGUAGUGUGUAGUAAGUUUUAUGACUCAGAUAGGAAAAACCUCUAACAGUGUAUAUCUAUCAGCGCCAUUUUUACGUCAAUAUAUGCUCGGUGAUACCGUUUGGGGCUGAAGGUAGAUAGAAUCGCGGUGUGAUUGGUAUAUUAGGUAUAGCAAAUGGGCUAAAGUGCAGCAAUAAUCAAACUCUGCGUCGCUCGUUGCCUGCCACCGUAUGAGCGUGUGUCCGGGCCCGGAACCGGUGGCUGCUGGCCGCCCGGUGACGUCACACCGGUGGCUGCGGGUCGCCCAGUGACGUCACACCGGUGGCUGCGGGUCGCCCGGUGACGUCACACCGGUGGCUGCGGGUCGCCCGGUGACGUCACACCGGCUCACGGUGCGGCCGGUCGUAUUCGGACGCCGGCCAUUGACGCCGCCGGGCGGCUCGACCACCAAUCGGUGAACAGAGCGCGUUAGGCCGGCGCUAAGACGUCAGGCCGACGCGUUAGGCCGCGUUAGGCCGGCGGUAACACGCGUCUGGUACGGGAUAACAGCGGUGUAACACACGCCAUGUUAACUCACUGUGAACAGGGUCCACAAAUACUAGUAUAGAGGUAUAAAUACUGGUAUAGAGACAGCCUCAUCGCGGCAGCCCACGGUGUUUGCCCCUGAGAGCAGUCGCCAAAUAAAUGUCAUCCGACA
rnacentral:misc_RNA from 1 species